AUUGAACGCUGGCGGCAUGCCUUACACAUGCAAGUCGAACGGUAACAGGUCUUCGGAUGCUGACGAGUGGCGAACGGGUGAGUAAUACAUCGGAACGUGCCCGAUCGUGGGGGAUAACGAGGCGAAAGCUUUGCUAAUACCGCAUACGAUCUACGGAUGAAAGCGGGGGAUCUUCGGACCUCGCGCGGACGGAGCGGCCGAUGGCAGAUUAGGUAGUUGGUGGGAUAAAAGCUUACCAAGCCGACGAUCUGUAGCUGGUCUGAGAGGAUGAUCAGCCACACUGGGACUGAGACACGGCCCAGACUCCUACGGGAGGCAGCAGUGGGGAAUUUUGGACAAUAGGCGAAAGCCUGAUCCUGCCAUGCCGCGUGCAGGAUGAAGGCCUUCGGGUUGUAAACUGCUUUUGUACGGAACGAAAAGCCUCUUUCUAAUAAAGAGGGGUCAUGACGGUACCGUAAGAAUAAGCACCGGCUAACUACGUG
rnacentral:rRNA from 1 species